rnacentral:rRNA from 1 species
AGUGAACGCUGGCGGUAGGCCUAACACAUGCAAGUCGAACGGCAGCACAGUAAGAGCUUGCUCUUACGGGUGGCGAGUGGCGGACGGGUGAGGAAUACAUCGGAAUCUACCUUUUCGUGGGGGAUAACGUAGGGAAACUUACGCUAAUACCGCAUACGACCUACGGGUGAAAGCAGGGGAUCUUCGGACCUUGCGCGAUUGAAUGAGCCGAUGUCGGAUUAGCUAGUUGGCGGGGUAAAGGCCCACCAAGGCGACGAUCCGUAGCUGGUCUGAGAGGAUGAUCAGCCACACUGGAACUGAGACACGGUCCAGACACCUACGGGAGGCAGCAGUGGGGAAUAUUAGACAAUGGGCGCAAGCCUGAUCCAGCCAUACCGCGUGGGUGAAGAAGGCCUUCGGGUUGUAAAGCCCUUUUGUUGGGAAAGAAGAGCAGCAGGUUAAUACCCCGCUGUUCUGACGGUACCCAAAGAAUAAGCACCGGCUAACUUCGUG